CCUACGGGAGGCAGCAGUGGGGAAUUUUGGACAAUGGGCACAAGCUUGAUCCAGCCAUGCCGCGUGCAGGAUGAAGGCCUUCGGGUUGUAAACUGCUUUUGUACGGAACGAAAAGACUCUGGUUAAUACCUGGGGUCCAUGACGGUACCGUAAGAAUAAGCACCGGCUAACUACGUGCCAGCAGCCGCGGUAAU
rnacentral:rRNA from 1 species